CUAGAGUAAGGUAUUACCUUCGGAAAUGGAGACGGGUGGUGCAUGGCUGUCUCAGCUCGUGUCGUGAGAUGUUGGGUUAAGUCCCGCAACGAGCGCAACCCCUGUUGUUAGUUGCCAUCAUUAAGUUGGGCACUCUAGAGAGACUGCGGGUGACAAAUCGAAGGAGGGGGGGGACAACAUCAAAUCUUCUUGCCCCUUAUGUCCUGGGCUACACACAUACUACAAUGUCUAUUACAAAGGGAAACGAACCCGCGAGGUGGAGCAAAUCUCCAAAAACACUCCCCGUUUUGAUUGUAGGCUGAAACCCCCCUACAUGAAGACUGAAUUGCUAUUAAUGGCAGGUCAACCUACUGCCAUGAAUACCUUCCCCGGUGUUGUACCCACCG
rnacentral:rRNA from 1 species